AUGGCCACCCCGAUGCUCUGCGACAAGGGCUACCUCCCGGUGAGAGCAGAGUCGCAGCUGGACGCGCCGGUGAGGGAGCUACCGCCGUGCCGCGUCCGGGACCUGGUGGCCAUCACCGGCAGCCGCCACGAGCACGAUCUAGUGCCCAAGCUGCUGGCCCGGGCCGUCAAGGCAGUGAGCACCUCGGCUGGAUUCAUACUCAACACCUUCGAUGUGCUGGAGGCCGACGACCUGGCGACGACCCGGCGAGACCUCACCGACGUGCCAGUGUUCGACGUCGGCCCGCUCCACAAGCUCUCCCCGGCAGCCUCCUGCCGCAGGACCGUGCUUGCCUUGACUGGCUGGACAAACAGUCCCCGGCGUCGGUGUUGUACAUCAGCUUCAGCAGCCUGGCGAGCAUGA
rnacentral:rRNA from 1 species